CUUGGGAUCGUAGGCUCGAAUGUGG
rnacentral:piRNA from 1 species